UUCCUGAACAACAGUCUCUGCUGAAAUAUUAGUUCUGCCACCUACAAAGACAACUGAAGGCUGAGGAUGAUAAAUCCGUCUCGGAAGUCACUGAGUUUGUUAGGUAUAAAAGCCAAGACUUCAACUGAGGUCUUUGCACUGACAUGCGCAUUAGCCCCACACUGGGUAUCACUGGACUAUCACGUACUGCAGGAGGAAGAUACAGGCGGCCAGUGUCUUCUCUGGUUUCUGGGUUGGUGACUUUGAAGUUGCUACAGCUCCCACGCCCUCAGCGAGCAGAGUUGCCAAGCAAGUGUGCCGGCUUCCAGAAGCCUGAGCUGCCCAUUGGCGCUGGGGAACCACCCCGGUGUCCCCAUCCUCUGCGCUGCUGCAGAUUGGUGGGGCAGCCCGGGGAGGCUGGCUCCGAGACGUGACUGAGCGUGCCUACACUGGUCCCACAGGUUUUCAGCUGUGGAGUUUGGGAUCUGAGCUUGGAGCCCAUUUGUUUCUGGCAGUUCGGUUCAUAUUUUCCACUUGAAGACAUCACUUCCCUUCCUUCCAAGCUGGGAGACCAGAAGUCAACAACAGGAGGGUGGAGAGGCCAGAUCUCACAAUCCGCUUGGCUGCGGAGUCCGCUGAGGUUCUUGCAUCCUGAAGUAAACUAUGGAGAGCUGGUGGGGACUUCCUUGUCUUGCGUUCCUGUGUUUUCUAAUGCACGCCCGAGGGUCAUCCAGAGCAUCUCAAAGCUGAAGGAGCCUCCGCUGCAACCUGGCCUCCUGCUGCAGGAUGAGACGAGCUGUCUGCAGCCCUCCCAUGCCACCUGCCUGUUUUAUACAACAACAUUUCAGAGAGGAGGGGCUGGGAGGGGAGAGAUAACACUGAGGCCUUUGGUUAUUUAGGGCAACAGCAGGGAGUGGCCGGGUGCUCGGAUUGGGAGGAGAUUGUUAAGUAGUUGCUGAGGGGAUGCCUGGAAUUGCUGGGAUGGGCCGAGAUACAACGCAGUGAAAGAUAUUGGUCAGCGGUGAACACAGAUUGGAAUGUAAAUUCUCAGGGUGUGUUUACAGCUGAGACGCUUAACUUUGGGGUCCUGGACAGGUGUCUCGACUGGAACUACUGGCAGCCUUGGAGGGGAGAUAUCGCACGGAUCCAAGAGGCUGAGGUGGCUCCUGUCCCCGAGCCCAGUCUGAGCAGCUUGGACCAUGAUGACCAAGAGAGCUGGAGGAGGCCAGGUGCAGUGGCUCACGCCUGUAAUCCCAACAUUUUGGGAGGCCAAGGCAGGCGGAUCACUUGAGUAGGUCAAAGAGACUUUGACUUGGCGGACGCCCUUGAUGACCCUGAGGAAGACUCCAUUGGGCUUUAGCAUUGGGAACAACUGGUCGACCAGGACAGUUACAUAAUGGUGUUUGUUGGAGGAAGAGAGAAUGAUAACCACAUCUGAUCCUAAAAAGCCGACAACAAGACAGUAGGAACUCAUCUCUCUCCCAGUUUUCUGCGCACAGUGAUGUUUUUGCUAAUAAUGAUCCCACAAAGCAGAUACAAAAUUGUUGUCAGUGCAAGAGGAAAAUGUAAUGACCCACCCCAACAUGAAGAUGCCGUUUCUCCCAUCAAGUUAGAAAUGAUGAAGGUUGAAUCCUACCCUGUCAACGCAGACUGAGGGGUGGGAGUUGGAGGCAGGUGUGUGGUUGCAACCACUUUGGAAGCAUUGGGAGAUUUUCUCCAAAAUUCAGAACGAGUGUGUAACACCAGCAUUUGGUUUGGACAAAGAAUGAGGCAUAGCUGCAAGAGAACCCUGUGCAAUAGUGAAGGAGGGGCUGGCUGGUAGGCUCAGAUACAGAACAAGACAUGUUACUGAUCUGGAAGAUCACUGACAUGUGAUCCAGGAGUUCCACUCCUAGGCAGGUACCCAGGAGAAUUGGGAGCAGGGACUCAAACAGCUAUUUGUGGACCCAUGUUGACAGCAGCAAUCUUCACAAUAAGCCAAAGGUGGAAACAGCACAACUGUCCAUCAGGAGAUGAAUGAAUGAACACAAUGUGGUCCCUCCAUGCAACAGAAUAUUAUUUGGCUGUAAAAAGGAAGAGGGGUUCUGAUACAUGCUACACGCGCUUUGAAAAUGUGCUCAGUGAAAGAAGCCAGGCACAAAAGGCCACAGGGUGUAGGAUCCCAUUAAUGUGAAAUAUCCAGAACAGGCAAAUUCAGAGAGACAGAAAGUGGCUUAGCGAUUGUUGGGCUGGAAGAGGGGAGAAAAGGGAGGGACUGCUCGUGGUUAUGGGGUCUCCUUUUGGGGGGAUGAAACUGUUCUGGAACAGAUAGAGGUGGUGAUUGUACAGUAUUGUGAAGAUAUGAAACACCAUUGAA